CGGAGGGGCUGGCGUUGUUCGGAAUUACUGGGCGUAAAGCGCACGUAGGCGGACUGGAAAGUCAGAGGUGAAAUCCCAGGGCUCAACCUUGGAACUGCCUUUGAAACUAUCAGUCUGGAGUUCGAGAGAGGUGAGUGGAAUUCCGAGUGUAGAGGUGAAAUUCGUAGAUAUUCGGAGGAACACCAGUGGCGAAGGCGGCUCACUGGCUCGAUACUGACGCUGAGGUGCGAAAGCGUGGGGAGCAAACAGGAUU
rnacentral:rRNA from 1 species